AGGGAAUGUGGGGAUGCUGGAAAAGGCCUUGAUGGGAGUCCUGGGGAUGGAGCCCUGGCCGUGGUACUUAGCAGCCAUGAGAACUUGGUGAGAUGCAAAUAUGCGUUUUGAGCUGUUGGCUGGUUGCAGUUGACAGAUGGGAGGCUGAAGAAAUGAGGAAGUACAUCGUGGAGCUGGCGGCUCUGCAGGCAGGAGGGGUGAGUGGACACCCUAGAAAAAUGGGGCCAACAGCUGGGCGAGAUGGAAAGAAGAUUGGGCUCCAGGAAGAGGACUGGGAGAAGGGCCUGCCCCAGAGGUCUGUGACUCAGUUUUUGGCACCAGGGAUUGGACCAGGGCACUGGACCACUGAGCUACAUCCCCAGCCCUUUUUGGUUAGCAAGUGGAUGAAGAAGUGUGGGAUGUGAUCGCAGUGCAGACUGCAGGGCUGAGGAGCCGUGAAGAUGAAUGAACUGGGGUCAACACCUCACUAUAGGUAUCUUCAGCACCUGAAGUUCAAUAAAAAAAGAAAGUCUCAGAGAAACAAGCACAGUGGAACGCCAUCCAUAUAAUGCUCAGAAAUCCACAAACUAAGAGUACCUCCAGGGAGCAUACGAAUGGAGUGAAACUUGGAGUGAAACUACUGAAAUAAAGGAGGGAGGGCUAAAUGCCCAAACAGAAGGAGUGGUCUCCUUGGACAGGGAGGGAGGGCCAGAGGCCAGGGAGGGAUCUGCAUGAGCUUCUGCUGCUUGGGUGAUGUUUGAUUUCUUGAACUGAGUCGUUGGUCCCUUAGGAUUAGUUCUGUUAUUAUUCUUUAACUUUUGCAUCUAACAGCGCCCGCGCGCGCGCGCACACACACACACACACAUAAUGUGCCUAUAUAUGUAGUGUGUAGGAAUAUCUAUAUAUGCAGACAUACGUAUAUACAUUUGUUCUUGAUUUUGUAUGAAUUAAUUAGUAUUGGAAAAAUACACAAAUUAAACCACUUCUGUGAGACUCGACCCUUUCCCAGAGCACCACACUUUCCUGCCUAACUUAAAGGCCCUUCGCAUUCUGUCCCCUCCAGACUCUUAACAUCAGCCACACUAACCUUGCAUUGUGUCAGGGACUGUCCUGAGUGCCUUAUGUUAUCCCACCAUAUUUAAUUCCAAUAACAACUCUGCAAGACAGGAACUAACUACCAUCAUUCGUAUUUUAUGUGUGCGGACACUGAGGCCCAGAGAGGUGAACUGAACAGGUCAAGUUCGUGCGGCUGCUAGGGGCAGAGGCAGUGCCUGCGCCUGUAUGGUCUGAUGGGAGAGUGCGAAUGCCGGACGGGUCGUCCUCUGGCUUUCCCUCUGUCUGCUGGUGCCUUUCCUCUCACCACUUCACGACCUUCCCACCAGGCCUUACCGUGUGUGCUUCUUGGAUACAGAGUAUCGCGACCACGAACUUCUACUUAAACAAGGGUCAAACAAGUGGGGCAAACUCUGAAUCGUAACACUCACUCUCAGAGCGUUACCAUUCUCUUCCCCAAUCCUACAACCUUUCUAGUUGUGUCAAGCAACCUGGCUCUGGUUUAUAUAUGCCCAGUUUGGUUUAAGGAUGUCUCUGGGAAAUGGGAAGAAAGUUUUGUGAGCUGGUCUCUAUUCCUCAAUGAGAUGUUAAAUUCCUUGUGGGCAGGGACGAAAUCCUGGGCUCCUUAUGCCUCCUUUCAUCCCCAGGUGUGAAUAUGGUUCUUGGUAAGUUCCUAAAACAUGGAGAAAGGAGCAGGUAAUUUGAGAGCUCUAAGACUACAAAAGUAUUGGCACAGGAACUUGGGCCUUCAAAGCCUUGUGUUCGGGGGUCCCUGGGCACAUCCAACUUUGCAAGAGGUGCUGUUUCUCACCCAUGUGAAGGACAGAGGUUUAGAACUUCUGCCUGAAGCAGGGGAGAAAGACCUUUAGUGACUUGGGGUUCAAUCUCCCCACCCCCAAACCCUCCAACAGGCUGUGUUGCCUAAGACCAAAAUGCAUCAGCACCCCAGCAGGUGAAUUUAACUUCAGCCUCUGUGGACUCAGAGAACUUGCCUGUCUACUGCCUUGUCUGCCUCUGAGAACCCACUGUGCUCUUGUCUAAGGAGCUCAGGAGAAGAUGGCGUUGUGCACACGUUUGUGGAAAACAAUUUUGAGGGUUGGUGAAAUAUGUUCCACUUGAUCCCUCUCUUGGGUAGUUAAAGUGAAGGGAGCAUCUUCCUUUUUCAAUCUCAUUCCUUUAAACCCUCUAAGGUUUCCCCAUUUAUACCAAAUUAAUGCCAUGUAACUAUAAGCCAUUAAUAUAACCCAAAAUGUAAUUCAUCUCUCUAUUCUUCCUCCUGCGUUAAUGCUCUAUUGCUGCUAUAACAAAUUAUCACAAAUGCCAUGGCUUAAACCAGCCCCAGCUCAUUAUCUGACGGUCUUGGAGGUUGGAAGUCUGAUGUGGGCCUCACGGAGCUGAACUCCCUCUGUGAGGAAGAUGCAGAACAGAUUCUUCCUCUCUCCAGCCUCUGGAGACCUCAGCUCUUGCUCCUUUCUCCACCUUCAGCAUCCUGACUUCCAUGUCUCUUAAGGACACAUGGGAUUAAAUUGGGCUCAUCUGGAUAAUCCAGGAUCACCUCCCUGCCCCAACAUCCUUGAUUGUAACCCCUUCUGCGAAGUCUCUUUGCCAGGUUGAUUGUCUCAGGUAUUUUGUUAUAGUAACAGAUAAUGAACUAACACAAGUGCUGUAAAACUAAGACAGAACCAAGACCUUGAAGAAUACUGAUGCAAGACCCAAGACUGAGACAAGGACAGGCUCAGAGAACAUUGCAGAAGCUGGGAUUAUAGGGGCAGAUCAUGGCAGUGCCCCUCAAUGGUGGGUCUUUGUCACUGUAGAGAAAGUACAAGCCUGUACGGUGUUUGCACUCAAUUCUGCAUGGAAUGGGACUUCCUUAAAUACUUCAGGGUGUUUGCCAUCCCUGGUUCCUUCCUCAUAGAUGCCAGGAACCACCCUAAGCCGUUUUACCAACCACAGAUGCUCUCAGACAGUUGUAAAUGUCCCCUAAUGGGUUCACAAUGCUCCUGAGCCUAGGUGGUAAGCCAGCCAGGCCUAGGAGUGAGCAAAGAGGCAUUAGUGUUGUUGAGAAAUGGAUUUUUUCGAGGCUUCUGUGUGCAGUUCCUCUAUUCUCCCAGCCAUCUCCCUUCUUCCUUCCUUCUUCUCAACACUGCCCUGUUUUCUUUUCCACGACAUCAGCACCAGCUGAGAACCUGCUGUUUUCUGUGGGUGGUUGCAAGAGGACCCUAGAUGACUUUCCUUCCUCCUGCCCCUCCCUCCCCUCAGUGGGGCUCUGCAUGCCUCCUGGAUCAUCCUCAAAGCUCAGGUCUCAUCAUCUCUGCUAUUGUCCAGUUAAUGAGUCCUCUGGGGUCCUCCCAGCCAGCCCACUGAAGGCCAGGUUUGGCUGGUGCUAGGGCCUUCAGCCAACCUUGCCGGGCCCCCUCCAGCUCUCGUUCCAGCCCUGGAGUCUAUGAGGCUCUUGGUUUUAAUGGUCCCUUCUACCUGGCACACCUUUUGUCACUUCUUUCUGCAAUCUCUACGUCACCGAGUUUCUCCCUAUGUUAUGGUUUAGAUAUGAGAUGUCCCCCCACCCCAAAAGCUCAUGUGUGAGACAAUGCAAGG